GGGAGGGAGGGUUGCAGGAUGCGGAGGGGGGGAGGGAGGGUAGAGGGCAGGAUGCGAUGCAGGGAGAUCUGGAGCCAACAGACGGACAGAGGUGGAGACAGGCGCAGAGGAGACUAAGAGAGCAGGAGAGACGCUGACCACCGGGGGCUCGGGCAGGGCAGUAGAGAGCUGGAGGGACAGAGCCAGGACAUCAAUGGGGGCCGUGGGAGCCAGGCCGCAGGGACACAGGGGAGCAAACCUGGAGAACAUGGCGUGCAAGAGAGCCGCAGAGACUGCUGGAUGCAGACGGGACUGGCAGGGAGCGGGGUGCACACGUGCGGAGGGACUGGGGGACCUGCGGAGACAUCGGAGAGGUGCAGGCAGAGAAGGGGAAGAAUUCAGAAUUGCCGACCCAGGACUCAUGCCUGUCCACGUUCCCCAGGCUCACUUGCCCAGGCCCUGAAAUCUUUGUGCAGUUUCCGGUGUGAGCCAUGAGUCCUCACCAGCACGUCCCAUGUGCUGAACCAUGGUAACCCACGGGCCCCCACUAGAUUCCUGCAUAAUCUAAGGCCCCUCUCUGCCUGGUCCGAAGGUCCCCAAGCUCUGUGGAGUGUACCCAUGAGCCUUGGCUUCCUGGCCCCAUCCAAGUCUAUUCAGCCACCCACAUCUGUGACUUUUUUGGGGGGGGCCAGUUCUAGGAAUUGAACCCAGGGCAUUGCACAUGAUGGAAGUGUUCUACCACUGAGCCACACCACUGACUGAGCUUUUACAUUUUUCUUUUUUUAAAUUUUGAGACAGAGUCUUGCUGAGUUGCCCAGGCUGGCCUCAAAUGUGUGACCCUCCUGCAUUAGUCUCCUAAGGUUCUGGGAUUACGGGCACGAGCCACCAGGCCUGGCUUGUGUAAUUACUAAUAGCACCUCCUUUUGCCCUGAAAUGUCUCACUGCAGAUGGGAAGUUUUAGUCACACUUCUUACAUGUUAUUGCAAAGUUGGUGGCUUUUCUAAGGUACAUGGGAGAUUUCUUCUAGGCCAUCAGGGUAUUAUUUAUAUAUUCACAUAUAAGAAAUCAUGUCAUAUACAAUUGCAUGUUGUACCAUACGGUGAGAUAUAUAAUUUCAUCUAUUGCAGCAGAUGCCCACAUUCGAAUUCCCCCAACUUUGCUGUUGUGAUUAUGGAGCAUCCUGAUUUCCGGUGGGCCCAAUGUCACUCUACGGUCCUUGCAGGAGGCACGAAGGAGGCCCAGAGUCACGGUCACAGGAGGUGAGGCCAUGUGGCUGUACACUGAGGAACCAGGGCAGCUUCCGACAGCCGGAACAGGCAGAGAGAACACAUUCUCUCCAGCAGCCUCAGAAGGAACUCGUUUUGGACUUUCGUUCUCCAGCACUGCCAGAUAAUAAAUGUGUGUUGUUUUAAGCCGCCAA